UCCAAGAGUUAUAGGCACAACUAAGUUUAAAGAAGCACUUACUGUAGCAGUCUGGAUAGGCUAGGAUACACAAUGGAAAACUAAAUCUCAAGACCUCAAAAUAACAAGACCUGAAGUGGAUUUUCUUCAAGCUUUUCACCCAGUAUCCUUGAAGAGCCAUUCACCAUGUCUGGACCUUUGCGGUUUGUCUUCCUCAGUAUCAUCCUCACCUCUGAUUCCUGAGUCUGAUAUAUCAACUUGUGAGCCCAGCACAAAUGGCAUAAUCCCAGUUGGAUACCAUCAUUUUCUCUUCUUCAGUGAGGAUGAUAAGCAGCAACAACAAUGAUAAUAAUAAGCAGCAGCAACAAUGAGGAUUGUGACUCAUCAUCUUUGACUAGUGCCAAAUAGGUAGGAGAAAGCCUUUUAUUAAUUAAUCCUCAUAUCAUCCAACUACAAGUAAGGCAAGGAGAAAUGAUCAUCCAACUACAAGUAAGGUAAUGAGAAAUGAGCUUCCUUUGUAAAUGAGAAAAGUAAUGCUCAGAGAGUGGAAGUAACUUGCCCAAGGCCAGGGAGCGAAAGCAUAGCAGAUCCAGUGUGUGUAUGCCAUUGUUUUCUGUAAGAAGUCUUUCACCAUCACUUAAGAUCUUUAACCAAAUCCAUUUAUUAAAAUGCUUGAUUUAAUUAGAUAUUGACAGAAACAACAUAAACUAUUAAAUAGGGUAUCUAGAAAGCCUCGAGGAAGAGAAAGCACAUGAGCUUGGUUUGAUCACCAAGGAGAAUUUCUGUGAGUGACGCUGUGGAGACAUUGGAAAUGAUGAUUAAAGACAUGAAUAUGCUUGACACAUAUAGAGAAGCCUGUGUUGCUGGAGUUUAUAAUAUUAUUGUUAUCCUCACCCCAAACCAGAUUUCCUGGUCUAUGGAUGUCACAACCAUCAGCCUUGUUGUUCAGACCAAAACUUUAGGAGUCAUUCUCAAUUUAUCUUUUUUUCUUUCGAGCCUAUAUUUAAACCAUUGCCACCCACCAGAAAUCCACUGAUGAACCUACAAUCAUUUCUGGCUUCCAAGAGUGUGCAGCCUCCUGACAGUCUCCCUCUUCUGCCUUCACCACCUUGCCUCACACUUUGCCCUCCGUAGGGUUGUGGGGUAAGGUUUCUAACAGGUAACCGAGACAACGCUACCCUCUUCCUUAAAACCCUCCAAUAUAAUUGAAGGUAUUAUGUAAAUUUUGUUCAUUUUAG
rnacentral:lncRNA from 10 species